CAUGUUCAAUUUUCUUUAAUUAUAUUAAUUCUUCAUUUGGAUUUUUCAGAUGAGUACCGACAACGGCACUCACAUUCAUCUCAGCGAAAGUAUACCUCCAAUACAGCCAGUUCAGGAUCAGGUUCAUAUCCAGCGCCGAAUUGGAGUGAAUUUUUACCACCUCCUCCUAAUCAUCCUCCUCCUCAUAGAGACUCGCCAAGAGGUUAUCCUCAAGGAGUUAUUUGUUCAAGUCCUCAAAUGUCAAAGAGGAGCGCCUGCAAUCUAGCCAAUACACCAACUCCGCCUUUAAGGAGUGGAAGUAGUUGCAAUGGGUAUGCACCAUCGUGGAUUGGUUCGAAUCCACCUCCACCAGACGAACAUCCUCCUCCUGUAAGUCACGAUACUAUUUUAGCAACAAAGAUCUUCAAUUUUUCACCCUUUAGUUUUAAUUAAAAGUCAUAAACUUGGACACUUAUUGUAGGACGCAUUUUUAUUUCAUUUAACUAUGAGGAGGAGGAGAGAAGCUGUCUAACUGGCUGAUAUCGGCGUUCUACGUCCUAUUGGAGGAGUUUAAGCGUUUACGCUGACUUGUCUGACAGAGGCUGACACUGGAAUGGUUUGGGAUAGUGUUCAUGUGAAUGGAAGGGGAAGAAUAAGCCCAUUUUUGAAAAGCCUGUCGAUUUAAAUUUCAUCUGGGAUACCUAACAAAACUAAAGUCAAGAAAAAUUCCCAAUUCCUAAAAUUUUCUUGAAUUAGGAUUCCCAUUCUUCACAAACUUUGAAUUUCUGCUAAGUCAGGAAAUUUUGCCUCACAACGGGGAGACUCUCCAGCUUAAAUGGAAAUUUGAAAGUGACAAAAUUUUAACACUAUUUUUGAAGCUCUUCAUUGCUCACAUUUCCUACAAAUUGCCUCCACUAAUAUUGUCUAGGAAUGUAUUGUAUACUUCAGAUUUUAUCUAAUGUUACUUAUACUUUUUGUUACAGGUACCGUGUUUUCCGGUGAAUUUUUCUAAUUCUGUAAAUAGCUGUGGUUCAAAUCACUGUCACAACUCUGGACGAAGACGUUGUGAAAGUAAUCAUCAAAUAGCUGCCGAAUCUGACUA
rnacentral:lncRNA from 1 species